AGCUCCAAUAGCGUAUAUUAAAGUUGUUGCAGUUAAAAAGCUCGUAGUUGGAUUUGUGGUUUGACCUGUGGUCCCAUUUUGGGUACAUGUGGGUCGUACCAUGUUUGGGUGGAUCUCGCUCGGCAUUAGGUUGUCGUCCGGGGGAUGCCCAUCGUUUACUGUGAAAAAAUUAGAGUGUUCAAAGCAGGCUUAUGCCGAUGAAUAUAUUAGCAUGGAAUAAUGAGAUAGGACCUGGGUGCUAUUUUGUUGGUUUGCGCGCCGAGGUAAUGAUUAACAGGAACGGUUGGGGGUCUUCGUAUUCCAUUGUCAGAGGUGAAAGCUCGUAGUUGAAUUUGUGGCGCGGCCAUCCGGCGGGGGCUCUUCAUUGAGCCCGUUUGUCCUGGUUUUUGGCCGUUCCUUUCUCGGGUAGCGUGUGGCUGGCAUUAGGUUGUUGGCUGCUUCGCGCCCGUCUUUUACUGUGAAAAAAUUAGAGUGUUCAAAGCAGGCUUAGGCCGUUGGAUACAUUAGCAUGGAAUAAUAAGAUAGGGCCACGACGGUCUAUUUUGUUGGUUUGCACGUUGUGGUAAUGGUUAACAGGAAUAGUUGGGGGUAUUCGUAUUCAAUUGUCAGAGGUGAAAUUCUUGGAUUUGUGGAAGACGAACUACUGCGAAAGCAUUUACCAAGGAUGUUUUCA
rnacentral:rRNA from 1 species